rnacentral:rRNA from 1 species
AUGGCGGUCCACGCAGCGCUCUCCUUGGGAUUAGAUUUCUCCCCGGGGAUGAAGUUGGCGUCUGAGAUCCAACGCACCUUCAACGGAUCGGUGCACCCUACGGAGGACACGGGCCAUUUCAUUAUGGUCGUCUCUUUUGCACGGCACACCUUCCGGCUUGAUGAGGAAAAUGUGGGGUUCGCUCUUGAGGCGGCCAUCGGAGGAUACUGCUCACAUCUCAAGGUAUCUUUCCUCCACCAUGGCGUCUUCUCUUUCAACGUUUCUUGCAAGGAGGUGGGUUUUUUCAUUCUGCACCAGAGGAGUUUUGUCUGUGAUCAGUUCAAGUGCUUUUUCCACCUCUAG